AUACUUACCUGCAGGGGAGAUACCAGGAUCACGAAGGUAAUUUUCCCAAAGUGAGGCUUAUCCAUUGCACUCCAGAUGUGCUGACCCAUGAAAUUUCCUCAAAUAUGGGAAACUCAGCAGCAUAAUUGUGGUAGUGAGACUGUGUUUGUGUUCUCCCGU